rnacentral:rRNA from 1 species
CCUUGACAUACUAAGAACUUUCCAGAGAUGGAUUGGUGCCUUCGGGAACUUAGAUACAGGUGCUGCAUGGCUGUCGUCAGCUCGUGUCGUGAGAUGUUGGGUUAAGUCCCGNAACGAGCGCAACCCUUUUCCUAUUUGCCGGCGGGUCAUGCCGGGAACUUUAAGGAUACUGCCAGUGACAAACUGGAGGAAGGCGGGGACGACGUCAAGUCAUCAUGGCCCUUACGGCCAGGGCUACACACGUGCUACAAUGGUCGAUACAAAGGGUUGCUACCUCGCGAGAGGAUGCUAAUCUCAAAAAGCCGAUCGUAGUCCGGAUCGCAGUCUGCAACUCGACUGCGUGAAGUCGGAAUCGCUAGUAAUCGCGGAUCAGAAUGCCGCGGUGAAUACGUUCCCGGGCCUUGUACACACCGCCCGUCACACCAUGGGAGUUUGUUGCACCAGAAGUAGGUAGUCUAACCGCAAGGAGGACGCUUACCACGGUGUGGCCGAUGACUGGGGUGAAGUCGUAACAAGGUAGGCGUAGAUGA